GACGAACGCUGGCGGCGUGCUUAACACAUGCAAGUCGAACGGAAAGGCCCUGCUUUUGUGGGGUGCUCGAGUGGCGAACGGGUGAGUAACACGUGAGUAACCUGCCCUUGACUUUGGGAUAACUUCAGGAAACUGGGGCUAAUACCGGAUAGGAGCUCCUGCUGCAUGGUGGGGGUUGGAAAGUUUCGGCGGUUGGGGAUGGACUCGCGGCUUAUCAGCUUGUUGGUGGGGUAGUGGCUUACCAAGGCUUUGACGGGUAGCCGGCCUGAGAGGGUGACCGGCCACAUUGGGACUGAGAUACGGCCCAGACUCCUACGGGAGGCAGCAGUGGGGAAUAUUGCACAAUGGGCGGAAGCCUGAUGCAGCAACGCCGCGUGCGGGAUGACGGCCUUCGGGUUGUAAACCGCUUUCGCCUGUGACGAAGCGUGAGUGACGGUAAUGGGUAAAGAAGCACCGGCUAACUACGUGCUAGCAGCCGCGGUGAUACGUAGGGUGCGAGCGUUGUCCGGAUUUAUUGGGCGUAAAGGGCUCGUAGGUGGUUGAUCGCGUCGGAAGUGUAAUCUUGGGGCUUAACCCUGAGCGUGCUUUCGAUACGGGUUGACUUGAGGAAGGUAGGGGAGAAUGGAAUUCCUGGUGGAGCGGUGGAAUGCGCAGAUAUCAGGAGGAACACCAGUGGCGAAGGCGGUUCUCUGGGCCUUUCCUGACGCUGAGGAGCGAAAGCGUGGGGAGCGAACAGGCUUAGAUACCCUGGUAGUCCACGCUGUAAACGGUGGGUACUAGGUGUGGGGUCCAUUCCACGGGUUCCGUGCCGUAGCUAACGCUUUAAGUACCCCGCCUGGGGAGUACGGCCGCAAGGCUAAAACUCAAAGGAAUUGACGGGGCACCGCACAAGCGGCGGAGCAUGCGGAUUAAUUCGAUGCAACGCGUAGAACCUUACCUGGGUUUGACAUGGAUCGGGAGUGCUCAGAGAUGGGUGUGCCUCUUUUGGGGUCGGUUCACAGGUGGUGCAUGGCUGUCGUCAGCUCGUGUCGUGAGAUGUUGGGUUAAGUCCCGCAACGAGCGCAACCCUUGUUCACUGUUGCCAGCACGUUAUGGUGGGGACUCAGUGGAGACCGCCGGGGUCAACUCGGAGGAAGGUGGGGAUGACGUCAAGUCAUCAUGCCCCUUAUGUCCAGGGCUUCACGCAUGCUACAAUGGCUGGUACAGAGAGUGGCGAGCCUGUGAGGGUGAGCGAAUCUCGGAAAGCCGGUCUCAGUUCGGAUUGGGGUCUGCAACUCGACCUCAUGAAGUCGGAGUCGCUAGUAAUCGCAGAUCAGCAACGCUGCGGUGAAUACGUUCCCGGGGCA
rnacentral:rRNA from 1 species